rnacentral:rRNA from 1 species
GUUUGAUCCUGGCUCAGGAUGAACGCUAGCUACAGGCUUAACACAUGCAAGUCGAGGGGCAGCAUUUCAGUUUGUUUGCAAACUGAAGAAUGGCGAACCGGCGCACGGGUGAGUAACACGUAUCCAACCUGCCGAUAACUCCGGGAUAGCCUUUCGAAAGAAAGAUUAAUACCGGAUGGCAUAUGAUUAUCGCAUGAUAAUCCUAUUAAAGAAUUUCGGUUAUCGAUGGGGAUGCGUUCCAUUAGUUUGUUGGCGGGGUAACGGCCCACCAAGACUUCGAUGGAUAGGGGUUCUGAGAGGAAGGUCCCCACAUUGGAACUGAGACACGGUCCAAACUCCUACGGGAGGCAGCAGUGAGGAAUAUUGGUCAAUGGACGAGAGUCUGAACCAGCCAAGUAGCGUG